UGCAGUCAGCAGAGUUCCCGGGGCCUACUACACUCAGAGAAAUAUUGAAGCAGAGUAUUUUAACCCAGCACGACUUAAAGUACCUGAAAUGUGAGACAGAAAGUUCUGGAACACUCAGGAUAAGACAGAAGAGGAAAAGCAGUCAGCAAACCGGAAAAAGGGGCUGCAGAGCUGGAAUUGCUGCAAAGCUGAAAACUAAUCCUCACAGGCCUGCUCUGCCUUCAAUACUGCUAGUAAAUGCAUGCUCACUGGACAGUAAAAUGGAUGAUCUGAGGCUGGAACUUGACAGCAAAAAUAAGAUGAGGAAGCAUGGGGUUGGUAUUCACUUGGCGGCCUAAAGUCGAUUCGGGACCUGAAGGAAAUGGAUCCCAAAGGUGAUGGAGGUUGUUGCAGUGGAUGUCCAGUCACUAGAGUGGUUGAUUUUAAAUACAAUCAAAAACACCAGACAUCCAGCCUUGCACAAGAGAUAGAAAAGAGGAGGUCUGAAGGCUUAAGACACAGAAAAAGGACAUUAAAACAGCCUCCAAUGCCUCAUCAGUGACUGGAACAGUACAGAGUAAGGCCUAAAGUUGGGAAGAGCUGUGGUGCGCAAGUCAACUAUCUACAGAAAGUCUGUGUACAACAGAUGUGCAUUUAUGUAAAUUAGAGUUAAAGCAAGUAUGUAACUAUUCUCAUGUUUUCAGAGAGUUCUGUAACAGUACUAGUUUUCAGAUUAUGUUUUUAUGUUCAGACAAUAAUAACAAAAAAAGGUACUAAUAGUUUUGUCUCCAGAACAUAACAUCUACCAAAUUUCAGUUAUGCUUUUAUCUGUGUUCAGGUAACACUGGCAAAAGAUAUUCCUUUAGUAUUAGUUUAGUUAGUUUCCAGAAUAUAAAAUUUAUACACAACUAUUUUAGAUGUUCAGUAUAAAUAUGUAUCACUUUAAUGUAACUUUCAGUCAAUCAGAAUAUGACAUUCAUACUCAGCUAUUUCUUCAGUAUAGUACAUUUCAGUCAAAUUUCAGAAUAAAGCAUUAAUUUAAUUUCAGUCAAGUUUCAGAAUAUAACAUUCAUACGUAGUUACAACAUGCAGUUACAUCAUACUUCACAUGAUUUAGUCAUUAGUUUAAGGGCAAAAGUGACAGAAUUAUUUAUAAAGAGUAUUUCUACAUCACAUAUCACAUUAUUCAGUCAUUAGUUUUGAAGAUAAAGUGACAGAAUUAUAGCAGGCUUAUUAAAAUAAGUUCAUGAACAAAAUGAGUAAUGGGUUAACAACUAAAAAAUAAAAUGCCCAGAACCACAGUGCCAGCUGAAGAAAAAAAAACACAGCCAUAAUUCACUUUAGCUCUUUCAUUCUUUUACUUCCAGAACUUCAUCAGAAUAAAGAAUGAGACACAUUACACAACAUUUAAGCCUGCUUUUUGUGACAUCAUAAUUCAAUUAUCCAAUCUAAAAACAUACUUAAUCAAGCCAAUUCCAUAAAUAAUUACAAAAGUUAAAAAAAAUGGUUGCAGAAUACAUUUCUAAAAAACUCACUUAAAUGGAUUUAUAUUUUAACAAACUCUUAAUAGAAAUAGCUUCAUUCAGAAUACUUUGCAGGUUUUAGAUACAUCACGCAUGCUUCACAACUUAGACUUAAAGACUCUAAAGACUAUGGAUCUAGGUAAUGGGAUAAUCACUGGAGCAGGUAGAUUUCCUACAUAUAGAACUGUUAAAGCUAUUUGGAGCUAAUAGCACCUUUGAGACCAUAACGUACAUCAUUAUUUAUCAGGACACAUCUGCAGAUUAUGAAUGAGGUAGCAUAAAGCUCAUAUAUUCAAACCAGAUCACAGUGGUUAAUAAUACAGAUAUGAGGUAACUAUAAAUGAAGGUCCCUGUAAACUUUCAUCAGAGACCUCAGCAGGAGCUGAUAGACUGAGGGUUUUCCCUAUAUUCUUAGUGAGUUCACUAUACAGGGAGAAUAAUAGGCCUAAAAAUUUAGAGUCAGAUUUGUGUUUUUGUGUACGCAUUCAGUUUCAGGGAAAGACGGUUCAGUAGAAAGGAAAAGAUAAUCUUGCUGGCUAAGCAUGAUAUGUGCAUAAAUAAAAGUUCUCAGGGAGAGCUACAGAAAGUUCUUUUCUCAAGGGAAAGGUAUGUGUAAUUGCAAUAGAAUGGUAGAUAAAGAAUGAACUGUGAGGCACAUGCAGGACCAGGCUUGAAAACCAAGCAUAAAGAGGCAUGUAAACAUUACAGGGUUUUGGUAUUAAUAGGCUAUAUUUCAGACACAGUCAGUUGAGUCAGUUAAUUUAGUUUUUGGACUGAUAUGCAAAAGAUCUUUACAGUACAGACACUGAAGCCUGAGUACAGAAGUUGAGUCAAAUAUGUAUGUUAUUCAGAAGAAAAAGACUGUUUCGGCUGAUAUUAUUCAGUCGAAUCAGAAUAUACAUGCAGAAACUUUGGAUAUUGAUCAGCACUGUUACUGUUAUCUAAAAUUCCAGACUUUCUGCAGACUGUUAUUGUUUAUCAGCUCUAUUACUUGAGACAGUAUUCAUAUAUUACUGACAUCUAAUAAAGCAUUCUUAACUGAA